rnacentral:rRNA from 1 species
GGUAGCACAGGAAAGCUUGCUCUCUGGGUGACGAGGGGCGGACGGGUGAGUAAUGCUUGGGGAGCUGCCCAAUCGAGGGGGAUACCAGCUGGAAACGGCUGCUAAUACCGCAUACCCCCUGAGGGGGAAAGGUGGGGACCUUCGGGCCUACCGCGAUUGGAUGCACCCAUGUGGAAUUAGCUAGUUGGUGAGGUAACGGCUCACCAAGGCAACAAUCUCUAGCUGGUCUGAAAGGAUGACCAGCCACACUGGAACUGAGACACGGUCCAAACUCCUACGGGAGGCAGCAGUGGGGAAUAUUGAACAAUGGGCGAAAGCCUGAUCCAGCCAUGCCGCGUGUGUGAAAAAGGCCUUUUGGUUGUAAAGCACUUUAAGCGAGGAGGAGGCUACCGAGAUUAAUACUCUUGGAUAGUGGACGUUACUCGCAAAAUAAGCACCGGCUAACUCUGUG